AUUGAACGCUGGCGGCAGGCCUAACACAAGCAAGUCGAGCGAGCGGCGGACGGGUGAGUAAUGUCUGGGAAACUGCCUGAUGGAGGGGGAUAACUACUGGAAACGGUAGCUAAUACCGCAUACCAUCAGAUGUGCCCAGAUGGGAUUAGCUAGUAGGUGGGGUAACGGCUCACCUAGGCGACGAUCCCUAGCUGGUCUGAGAGGAGGACAAGCCACACUGGAACUGAGACACGGUCCAGACUCCUACGCCAGGACGCCGUCACUAAUAUUGCACAAUGCGCGCAAGCCUGAUGCAGCCAUGCCGCGUGGGUGAAGAAGGCCUUCGGGUUGUAAAGCACUUUCAGCGGGGAGGCGUUACCCGCAGAAGAAGCACCGGCUAACUCCGUGCCAGCAGCCGCGGUAAUUC
rnacentral:rRNA from 1 species